rnacentral:rRNA from 1 species
UGGCUCAGAACGAACGCUGGCGGCGUGCUUAACACAUGCAAGUCGAGCGGAAAGGCCCUUCGGGGUACUCGAGCGGCGAACGGGUGAGUAACACGUGAGGAACCUGCCCUUAACUCUGGGAUAGCUUCGGGAAACCGGAAUUAAUACCGGAUAUGACCACGGUCGGCAUCGACCAUGGUGGAAAGAUUUAUUCGGUUAGGGAUGGACUCGCGGCCUAUCAGCUUGUUGGUGGGGUAACGUUCCCACCAAGGCGAUGGCGGAUAGCCGGCCUGAGAGGGCGACCGGCCACACUGGGAUUUUUUCUCUUCCCAGACGACUACGGGAGGCA